UCCGUGUUGGCAGAGCUAAUGCAAUUGAUUUAAGCUCAAUCCAUGGAAAUCUUUUCCACAUGGCA
rnacentral:tRNA from 1 species